rnacentral:rRNA from 1 species
UACGUAGGGUGCGAGCGUUGUCCGGAAUUAUUGGGCGUAAAGAGCUCGUAGGCGGUUCGUCGCGUCGAAUGUGAAAACCCGGGGCUCAACUCCGGGCCUGCAUUCGAUACGGGCGGACUAGAGUUCGGUAGGGGAGACUGGAAUUCCUGGUGUAGCGGUGAAAUGCGCGGAUAUCAGGAGGAACACCGGUGGCGAAGGCGGGUCUCUGGGCCGAUACUGACGCUGAGGAGCGAAAGCGUGGGGAGCGAACAGG